AUUGAACGCUGGCGGAAUGCUUUACACAUGCAAGUCGAACGGCAGCACGGACUUCGGUCUGGUGGCGAGUGGCGAACGGGUGAGUAAUGUAUCGGAACGUGCCCAGUCGUGGGGGAUAACGUAGUGAAAAUUACGCUAAUACCGCAUACGAUCUAUGGAUGAAAGCGGGGGAUCGCAAGACCUCGCGCGAAUGGAGCGGCCGAUGUCAGAUUAGGUAGUUGGUGGGGUAAAGGCUCACCAAGCCAACGAUCUGUAGCUGGUCUGAGAGGACGACCAGCCACACUGGGACUGAGACACGGCCCAGACUCCUACGGGAGGCAGCAGUGGGGAAUUUUGGAUAAUGGGCGCAAGCCUGAUCCAGCCAUUCCGCGUGCAGGAUGAAGGCCUUCAGGUUGUAAACUGCUUUUGUACGGAACGAAACGGUUCUCUCUAAUACAGGGGGCUAAUGACGGUACCGUAAGAAUAAGCACCGGCUAACUACGUGCCAGCCGCCGCCGUAA
rnacentral:rRNA from 1 species